rnacentral:lncRNA from 1 species
GGGAAUGAUGGUAGGAUGUAGUAGCAGAGGGAAAACAUAGGAAUUCAGCAAAGGGGAACAUGCUGAUGAGAAUUUUUUAAAGGAAAUAGGAGGAUGUGCCUUUAUGAUGGUGGUAUGUGGCUUAUUCAAGCACGUGAUUUGUCAAUGUGAUACACCCGGCCACAACUCACAAAACAAUGAACCGACCAUACUUGGAGCCAAUCUUUCUCCCUAGUUGAUCGUGAAAUCCUGGGAUUUACGGUUUCUCACCGGUUGAUUGGGGAACGGUGGGAUCGCAGGGCGAAGCAGGAAAAAAGUACGCACCGUAAGUGGUCCUCAAGGACCAGCACAUCAUCUGUGGUCACAUCAAGAGCAUGGCAAGGGGUGAGAAGGGUGUGGCUGCAGUGGUUUUCCC